rnacentral:rRNA from 1 species
AUUGAACGCUGGCGGCAGGCCUAACACAUGCAAGUCGAACGGUAACAGGAAGAAGCUUGCUUCUUUGCUGACGAGUGGCGGACGGGUGAGUAAUGUCUGGGAAACUGCCUGAUGGAGGGGGAUAACUACUGGAAACGGUAGCUAAUACCGCAUAACGUCGCAAGACCAAAGAGGGGGACCUUCGGGCCUCUUGCCAUCGGAUGUGCCCAGAUGGGAUUAGCUAGUAGGUGGGGUAACGGCUCACCUAGGCGACGAUCCCUAGCUGGUCUGAGAGGAUGACCAGCCACACUGGAACUGAGACACGGUCCAGACUCCUACGGGAGGCAGCAGUGGGGAAUAUUGCACAAUGGGCGCAAGCCUGAUGCAGCCAUGCCGCGUGUAUGAAGAAGGCCUUCGGGUUGUAAAGUACUUUCAGCGGGGAGGAAGGGAGUAAAGUUAAUGCCUUUGCUCAUUGACGUUACCCGCAAAAGAAGCACCGGCUAACUCCGUG